CGCUAGAGUUUAGUCUUUGUGUAGGCUUCAUGGUGGGAGAAUUUCUUCCCGGGACAGUAGUAGCAGCGUUUUAGACUGGAAGAAAGCCCAUAAAUUGCCUUUCGGAUCCUAGCCAUCCAGAGGCAUCUUUUAAGAAGUUUCUCUCGGAAUGGGGCCUUCCCAAUCCUGUUAGAGCGCAAUGCCAUACUUUUAGAAGAUGUCAGUACUGUGGAAUGAGAUGGCCAACCAUCAUAUGUAUGCUGCAACUCAGAGAUACAGCUGUGAAUUCUCAGAAUACGGUACUGAUGGCCCUGUCGUCCAAUGCAUCCAAUGUCUGAUUUUCAUCUUGGCCAGCUUUCUACUAUGCCUUAGACAAAACUCAACCAUUCUCUUCCAUGAUGUAGAAUGGCUACUGAAAAGGAAGAAGAAAAGAAAGCUUUCAGAGGACAGUGAAGAGCUAUAGAGAAAAUCCCUUCUGGGAGCACCAUGAUCCCCAGGGAGCACUAUGAUACCUGGAGGCGGUAGAGGUAAGCUGGUAAGUUUGUCAAACCUGCUUCAGGGACACUCCAUGUGGUCCUGGGCUGAGAUAUUUUUGAAGCUGGUGCAAGCAGCAGUGGGGAAAUGGGGGCCUAGUGGUAUGGUGGUCAUUCCAGAAAUGUAACCCCUCAGAAACGUGCUACCCAGCCUCUUAUAAGAAGGGUAAAACAAACAAAGCUGCUGCCUAUUUGGAACAUACGCUGGCUCCUUCCACAUCUGCAGGACAUUUAGCUCCUUGCAUCUGGUAAUGUUUGUGCAAAUAUAAUUCCAUAUUCACUAAUAAUUCCUGGGGCUAAAGGCCCCCCCCUCGGGUAACCUUGUUAAUAUUCUCUCAAGGCCUGGUGUGAACGCCUCAUAGCAUUUUGAUUAGAAUUCAAUCUUGUGUUUUUUUCCCUCUCUGUCUCUUUCUCCCUCUCUCCUCUCAUGCUUUUCUGGCCCCCGGUUUCCUGGCCACCCACAUCAGGAGACAUUCUCCCUCCCUUCCACUCUCCAUUCUCAGUUUCAAGGAAUUUCCUUGUGUCAAAGGCAAAGUGUGAUUGACAUAUUUUCCCCCUCUUAAGAGCAGUCAUCUCGGUGUUUGAUUUAACCAUCUCCUUAUGGGGCUCGUACAAUCAUUACCUGGGUGAAAAAGAGACCUCCUGCUCACCCUCGCGCUCAGACCCACGUAGCUCAGUAUUUUUGUAGACUUUUAAAUUGCUGCUCUCCUUCCUCUUUUUUUCUACCCUUUUCUUUCUUUUUGGUUGGCACUACCAAAUGACUCCCUGGUGUGUUGUACCCUGAGCCGUAAGGGUUUUAGUUAUCCGCCAACAGGUAGACCAGCUGCCUCCUGCCAGUGCCCUCAGCCUGCCAAGAAAAGCAUUUGCUGCUCUUUAGAUCUGGGGGAAAGAAUGGAGAUAGAAUGAACUGUCUAGUUUUGAAUUCACCGCCUUUAGGCAGGUUGUUUUCCUUUGGUGCCUUAGUCUUACUUGACCGGCUUAUUUGUCACUCAGGAGAAGAAAACAGAAAACAGAAACAAAAGCAAAUUAGCCGUAGCAUGAAGAAUUGUAUUUAAACCCAAGAGGGAUUUCUUGGCAGUGAAGUUCUUAAUGUUGGAGUGAUUCUGGAAUGUAGGCCCCCUCUCUCAGGCUGCCUUAUCAUUGAAUUACUGUGGGUUCUAAGGGUUUCUGCCUGAAGGGGCUGAACUAGAUGACCUUGGAAGGUCACUUGCAGCUUUUCAGUUCAGCAGGAAUCCCCAUCUUUUCUGUGAAGGGCCACACUUCUCACAGUGUUAGAGCAGAUUCUGUCCUAAGGGGAUUGCUCAUGUCUCUCUAGAGUAGCCUGAAUCAUAUCUCCUGCCACUGAUUGUGAUAAGCCGCCUACUCAGAGCUCCCAAUUGCAGGCAACUCUGUUGCCUCACAAUAAUUGCAUUCUUCAGUAACCUCCUGUGCCCCAAUCCCAUUGUUUCAGAAGGAAACAAAGUGCUAGAAGAUAGAGCCUUGCAUUGGCAAUAACAAAGUUGAUGUUUUUUUUCCCCCUGCAGGAAUUUGAGUGAUGCAGUUUUAAUAACAUAGAAAGCUGUCUGUAUAUAGCUUUAUAAUUUUAAUUCAUGGUGCAAAGCGUUCAGUGUGACAUUUCACUUCUAAUCAGGAGUAAUGGCCUGUAUGUAGCGAUUACUAAAAGCAUUCUUAUUAACAUAGCGUGACGUAAAUACUUGCUUGUUGUAAUUAUGAUCUGUGUUACGAUAAACAAAGCAUGAUGCCGACCAAGCAAAGCAGGCGUAUGUUCUUACGUUGAGAUUAGCAGCAGUGUGUGUCCUAUACAUUGUGCUUUGAUUGACAUUAUAUCUCAUUGCUUUAGGAAAACUUGGCUGGUAGAGGAAAUGCCUGUAACUCCCCAUUGUGUACAUACUCGUAAGAAUCCAUAUCAGUCCGUGGUCCUCCCAGACCAGUAUCUGAGUCAGAAAGUAGAAUGAUGGGAUUCAUUAUUCCAUGUGGGAUGUGGAAAGUAAUGAUUACCCUGAAAAAUACUGGCUCAGAAAGGUUAGGGUGGACUCCAGGACAUUUCUAGGUUAUCUCAAUUUCCUAGUACAGGGUCCCAAGAGCCACUCAUCAAAGUCAGGACCUGAAGCACUCAUGUGGUUCACAAUGUCUCUAAAUCUUUCCUGUACCCAAUUUCUAUGUUCAACCUAUAUGGAUGGAGUAGGGCUUCCUUUUAUUUGUUGUGUAUCUGCUUCUUUUAAAUUCAAGGAGUUUCACCAAGUGUCGUAUCCCAGAAUUUGGUUAAAGAGUCUAUGAUUCUCCAUUUCCAUAUCCUCCAUGACUUGGAAAACUUAAAUCAGAUUUUUAUUGCACACUCCACCCGCCCGUUCCCUCUGCCAUUUCUUUCAUCUUCCCAGAUGGAUAAAUAGGAGUUUCCAAAGCUUGUCCUCAUGUAGAAUUCCUUCCUCUCCUCUGAAAUUUUGUACUUGAUGAUAUCCAGAAACUUCUUUCAUACCUCAAUCACGGUGAAUGGUAUUGCAUAUCUCAGUGCGUGUGGGUUGAGGCUGGGAUUCUUUUGUUUUUCCAGAAGAGUAGAUGUAAUACACCCAUGUCCUCCUAUUCAGGUUUUCUGCAGUUUUUCUGUGUUUAAGGUAAUGAGACCAACUUUAUUAGAUAAUCACCAUUAAUAAGUUUAAUGCCAAUGUCAAAAAUUUCUAAUAUCUUGAGAAGUGGAAACAAUUUUGAAAUGAAAAGUUAUAUGGAAUGCAAAAAUAUGAAUAAGUUGUAAGCUAUGUGAUAUUUGGGGACCCAAGCCCUCCUCUGGUCUCUGAGGUACUCCACAAAACUAGAGAGUCCCAUGCAUGAAAUGUGCUUUGAAAAUCAGCGAGCUUACCAAAGUGAGCACCAACCACUGUUCACUUUAAAAAGCUGGAAUUUAGGGGCACCUGGGUGGCUCAGUUGGUUAAGCCUCCGACUUCAGCUCAGGUCAUGAUCUCGUGGUCCGUGAGUUUGAGCCCCGCGUCAGGCUCUGUGCUGACAGCUCAGAGCCUGG